CAAAUAAAAGUACACGAAAAUUUCACGACUUCAGCUGACAAAGUUGAGAACGACCUGGCACUGCUGAUCCUAGAGGAGCCAAUUAUAUGGAAUGACGGCAUCAGACCGACGUGUUUGGAAGGGGGGGACGGUGACGUCGUAGAUACUGGAACGACGGGCUGGGGAGGAGCAGGCCAGUUGGUUCCGAUUCGCUUCGACUUGGAAAAGAGCAAGGACUGUAAAAAUGCGUCAAGAAACACAUUCUGUGCUGUUUAUGGCAAUGAUGUGUCCACCUGUCCUAGUUAUGGAGGACUCUUCUUGGCAAAACGUGGGGACUGGUGCUUGUACGGUAUACGAACUGGAGACACCAGCGACCGACCGUUCUGCUUCGACAAAACUGUUCGUUACACAUCUUUAGCUCCUUAUAGCGAUUGGUUGAAGAAUAAUG